UACGGGGGGAGCAAGCGUUGUUCGGAUUUACUGGGCGUAAAGGGCGCGUAGGCGGCGCAACAAGUCACUUGUGAAAUCUCCGGGCUUAACCCGGAGCGGCCAAGUGAUACUGUCGUGCUAGAGUGCGGAAGGGGCUACUGGAAUUCUCGGUGUAGCGGUGAAAUGCGUAGAUAUCGAGAGGAACACCUGCGGCGAAGGCGGGUAGCUGGGCCGACACUGACGCUGAGGCGCGAAAGCCAGGGGAACGAACGGG
rnacentral:rRNA from 1 species